GCAGAAGAGAGCAAAUAGCCUAAAUGUGAUGGACUUUUUAGAAGAAGAAGCCUUUAAUCCUGACUACACAGAGGUAGACCGUAUUCUGGACUUGUCUGAGACAGCAUUAUCCCAACAACGGAAAAAGAAAUUAAGCACUACCUAGUUAAGUGGAAGGCGUUGCCUUAUGAAGAUUCCACAUGGGAAUUGGAAGACGAUGUGGAUCCUCUAAAAAUUGAGGCCUUCCUGAAUUACAAGGAUCCACCACCAAAAAAUGAAUGGAAACCAAAGAAGAGGCCGAAACCAUCUGAAUGGAAAAAAUUAGAAGAGUCUCCAAUUUAUAAAAAUAACAAUUCAUUAAGAGAAUACCAGUUGGAAGGCUUGAAUUGGUUGAAUUUUUCCUAUUAUAAUUCGCGUAAUUGUAUCCUUGCUGAUGAAAUGGGUCUUGGCAAGACCAUCCAAUCGCUGUCAUUUGUGGAUGCAUGUCAUAAAUUUGGCAUUCGUGGACCGUACCUGAUUAUUGCACCCUUAUCCACUAUUCCCAAUUGGCAGCGAGAGUUUGAAAAUUGGACAGACCUGAACAUCAUUGUUUACCAUGGAUCGCAAGCCAGUCGUAAUAUGAUCCUUGAAUAUCGAGAUGUAUUACAAGGAUGAGAA